UACGGAGGGUGCGAGCGUUGUCCGGAAUCACUGGGCGUAAAGGGCGCGUAGGCGGCCUGAUAAGUAGGGGGUGAAAUCCUGCGGCUUAACCGCAGGGCUGCCUUCUAAACUGUCAGGCUAGAGCACAGUAGAGGCAGGUGGAAUUCCACGUGUAGCGGUGAAAUGCGUAGAGAUGUGGAGGAACACCAGUGGCGAAGGCGACUCUCUGGUCUGUAACUGACGCUGAGGAGCGAAAGCGUGGGGAGCAAGCAGG
rnacentral:rRNA from 1 species